GCUCGCCGAGCGGUCGAUCAUCGUUUGUUCGCCGCGCGGCAGCGCUAAAGAUAGCCAGGCCGAUUACUUCAUCGUGGAAAUCACGUAACAUCAUUCGGAACAGAGAUAUAAUGUGGGGCGGUGUCGAGGAGACGAGGAAACGGUAGCGCGGAAUAAUCGUUCCCCGUAGCGCGCGGUGUGCACGCGCGUAGACGCCGGUCACAGGAGCGUGCUGCCUAGCCGGGGCCCGGUCGACCGGCUCUCCUCUGCCGCGAAGCAGAGCGGUGGCCAGCCACACCACACGCGAUCAUCACAAUAAACUUUUUACCCCGACGCGACGCCGACACGUACGAUGUUGGGUCAAGGUUAAGGGGAUUGGCGACGAGAGAUUUUGGACUGCGAUGACAAUCCUUGGACAGUUGGAGAAAAUAGAGGAAACGAUGCAUAAUUAUUUUCUAUAUUAAAGAUGAAAGGAACUGUUUGUUUUCACUGUCUUGGUGGUAGUGGAUUCAAAAGAACUCUUAAGUAGUAUCAGCAACAUUGAGAAUUGCUACUUUCAAAAUAUAUAGAAGGAAAGUAAUUAUCCAGUGUACACAUUAAAUUGCAACACAGUGGAAAAGCUAAAAUCGACAUUCUCUUUGUCUUGACAAGGUUAAGCCUCCAUAGGGCAAGAGAAUGAAAUCCGAAGAUCUUCGUUAGAAUAAGAGAAACGAAUCGAUGAAGUGCAACCGCGAGGCAGGCGAGUGUAACGCGUUAAUUCCGGUGGAGUCGCGCGGAGGGAAAGGGAAACACGGUGUCAGGACAACGACGGACUGACACCGAGUCGGACCAGGUAAGCGUCCGUUCCAGGUGCGUGGGGCAUCAACAGGCUCUCCGGCUAUAAAUAGACCGCGAAGGUCAGGGGAAUCAGCAGUUUUCAUGCA